rnacentral:lncRNA from 1 species
AAAAAGACAUUUAUAUCAAAAAUAAAUAAACUUAGUUCAAAUAAAAUAUCUCGUUUAAGACAUUCAUAUUAACUUCAAACAUUUUCUAAUUUUAAAUUUAAAUCGAGUACAAAUAUUUUGAUACCGCAUAUGAAUAUUAUGUAAUGGUUCCCAAGAUCGGUUAAUUUAGUUUUACACAAGGUUGAACAUUCUAAUGCUGAAAGUUCCGUUAAGGGCUUUGGUGAUGUAUUGUAUUGUUUUGUUUGAUUCGGUAGGCUCAAGAAAUCUUGAAAUCAAUUUGAGUAAGAGGCUCGCUUCUUGAGAAGAAAAUUUGUCGAAGAAAACUAAUUGGAGAAGAUGUUAACAAAGGGAAAUCCCUCGAGAAAGAUCUUAAUAAGGUGAAACCCUUUAGAGAAAAAUAAAAACCUUCGAGGAAUAUGUUAAUAAGGUGACACAGUAUGAGGAAAUAUGAAACCUUUUGAGAAAAAUCUCAGUAAUGUGUAAUUUUUUUUUUAAAUAAAUUGAGUAGCAGAUCUAGAAAAAUAUGUGUAGUGAACAAGUUGUUUAUUUUGUGAAUAAUUUGUAUAUGUUAAAUAAGGGUAUUGUAGGAAGUUUGAGUAUGUGUAUCUAGUAAAAUGUUAAAACAAAAAAGUUAAUAGGUGGUGUAUUAAGUAUGAAAUGUGUAUUUAGUAAUUAGAGAUGUGUUAAUAAAAUUUCUCAAAGGAAAAUUGUCAAGUACGUUUUUUAAUGCUCAUUCCAAGAAAUUUUGGUUUUUUUGUAGUGCUUGUUCCAAGUGUUUUGUAUAUUUGAACAUUUGCUCACAUUUUUAAAAUAUAUUGAGAAAAGACUUUACCAUAACCUCAUCGGACUCUAACGCCGUGUGUCACUAGAGAUUUCAUCAUAAUCUCACCGGACAUCGUUGGAACCUAACCGGGCCCUCACAUGGUAUUUUACUGAAAGGCGGAGCUAUGAAGCGACCAAAGGAGUGUCGUGGAGCCCCCCAAUUAUUUGCCGGCACCAUUCAAACUACUAUCAUGUAAAAUUAACUUUGUUGAGAAUAAUGGAAAUUUUGAAAUCUGGCACUCUUAAAUAAAUUGUUGAUUGUAUUGUAUUGCGUAUUUGGCUUCUAAUGGAUUGAUUGUAACAGCAACAAGGCAGCCAUUGUUUGGCCAAGUAAGCUUUACAAACUGAUUAUAUCAAGUUUUGAAAGAAGUUGGGACUCAUUGGCUCCAUGAAAAUGUAAUAUAUGGUUUGUUUUAUUAACACUGGUCUUUUACCCGUGCAUAUUUGACAGAAUCAUAAUCACGAUCAACUAAAGAUAAGUAUGAGCGGUUAAUUAAGUUUACCGUAUUAUACAGUUAUUCGUCCUACUAAUCGGUAGUUUUUAUGAUUAUUUAUUUAUUUAAGUUUUUUUAUUGUUAUUUUGCUUUUACUAUAACAACUCUUAGUUUUUAUUUGUUUUAGUUGAUUCAUUAAAGAUAAUUAUAGAAGUUCACAAUUUGGUGAAGCUUUUGAGGGCCUGGCUUUAUAGUAGUAGAGAUUAGGUUGUGGUGCUCGUUUUUACUUGUUUUGAUCGGGCAAGGUUUUAUUGAGGUCAUAUUAGCCUUCGGUUGUAGUGUCCAAAAAGUUUGAAUGAAGUUGUUAUUCCCAUAAAACAAAAGAAAUAUGAGGUGAGUUGGCGCCAAGCGUAGUACGUCGUUGUUGCUCAAUCACGAUCUUGUAGGUGACGGAGAGCAGGUUGCGCUCGUCGAAGGAGAGCUCCAACACUAGAGUGGACCGACGAGCUUUUCCAUGAACUGCCAACUCUAAGCCAUCUCCUGAUGAUGACUAGCGUGCAAACUAGAUGAAAGCCCAUUUUGUGCGUAUUUGAAUCUUCUGUACCACAGAAUCGGUGAAAGUAGGGCAAAGUAGAGAAGGUGGGCGUGAAGAGUGAAACCAAUUUGAGGAAUGACCAUUAUAUUAUUUCAUGUAGCCAAGGGCUGCAGACUUGCUGCUUUAAGAAACAUAACCAUCAAAACUGAUUUGGACUACAUUCAUAAGAGGAGGCAGCCAUAUAUUGAACCUAGGGCAGAGGAGGGCAACGAGGGUAGGUGGUGCGUCAGUGGGGGAAGAAAUUUAGGGUUUCAUGAUUUUUUUCUUUCUUCAGGUUUCUCGGGUUUUCAGCUAUGAACUCAAGGUUAGAACAAAGAGUCUGAUAAUGUGUUGUAGGAGAAAAUAUAACAACAAUAAUGGUCUACUCAUUCAUUGAUAGAAAGCUUAUUUAUAGGCAUUACAUAGAGUCUCCUGAAUGAUGUAGAAGUUCUAUCAAUGCUGUAAUAUAUUAUAAUAAAGAAAUGAUUAGGUUAAGACACGUAACAGAAGGACAGGAAAAUAAAUUUCUUAACAUGUUCUUAAUACUCUACCCAUAUUUCUAUCCAGGCUUAAGGACGGCUGCACCGAUUCUUUGUAAAGUUGGGACUUCAAAUUCAAAAGCUGAAAAAUAACCAAAUCAAAUCCGAACAUAAACCAAAAUAAAAAACGAAAAAAAAAAUCGCACCAAAUGGUAAAAAGAAAACCGUAAAAUCAAGAGAUCUGGAUUUCCAUGUUUGAAAACCGAAACCAAACCAAAUAAAAAACAAAUUACAUAAAUUAUCGUCGCUUUUUAAGUAAUUAUGUAUAUUAGGGUGUUUUUAUUUAUACACAGCAAAUAUCUAAAUACACCCGGCCCUAGAAAAUUUUACACUUUUUUCCAAGUUUGCUCUUCAAACAAAAAAAAUAAUAAUAAUAAUAAUAAGGGAGCGGAUUCUACGCACCAAGGAGUAUUUGCACCAUUAAUGUGUAAGUGCUCAAAUCGCCUUAUGGGAAUAUCGAAUGUAGACUAGAGAACCCUAAAUUCCUUCCUUUCAAUUUAAUUUUUGAUCCGAUCAAAUUAAACGCCUAUAAUAAGAGUAUAUCUUAUUCGACCUAAUGUUCUUAUCUCCUUAUUUAGAAACACUUGGGACUAUUUUUUUUUGUUUCAAUCUUGUUAACGGUAUUAGUAUAUAUGUAUGUAGUGCGAUAUAGAUAGCUGUAACUCCCUGACCCAGAUUUAAUACAAGAAAUACAACUCAUUACCUCAAGUUUCCAUAGCACAGAACUUCAAUCGAUAACUUACAAGAAAAUACUCUUCUCACUUGAAACCAGUUUACGUCAUGAUGUCUUUCAAAAACUCCAUAAGUGUCGAGAGUCCGCCUUCAAUCUGUGGUCGGACUAAGAGGAAAGUCGUCUUCCACAGUACCCUCUUCAGUUGGCUCCUUUUCAGUUUGAACUGGUGCUAGCCACCACCACAGGCUUGAGGAAGGUUGGAGGGGUUCUAAUCAAUAUAGUUCAUCGCCGAGGUAAGGCAGGAGAUGGCCUGACCGUGGAUGCCGACCAAACCCAGUCGGUGUGUCCAAGAACAGGUCCUUCCCCCCCCCCCCCCCCCCCCCCCCCCACCACCCCACAAUCGAGGUCGGUGAGAUAUAUAUAGAGUGAAGAAGGUUGGUGUUGCCUCAUCCUUCUUGUCCAUUUUUCUCAACCCUUCCUCACUCUUCUUUCUCGAUUCUCUCCUCAUUUUAAUUUCUUCUCUUACUUUCAUCAAAUUUAUUUUAUAUAUUUACUUAUUCACUUUACUAUAAUUGAGAAUUUAUAUGUGAAUAUACCCAUUAUACACAUAUGCCUUGGUACAUGAAAAGUAUCGAAAACAUAUUCCUACAUCGAAUUGGUAUUACCAAGAUGUAUAAAUUUCUGACUCCCAUUUCAAAACGAAUUGUACAUGUAUUCAUUUACUUAAAAAUUAUCAGUGUGUUAUAAUAGCCGAAUCAAAAUACUGCAUAUUAUUUGCUCAAUUUCACUUGCACCUUAGUGCAUAAAAGAAAUUUUGAGAAAGUAAACCCAACAACAACAAUUAAACCUAUGAUUUUCUGAAAUCUAUACAGCGAUUAAAAUCUAAACUAGAAAAUCCAAUUGGCCCGUCUGACAACGGCACGAUGUUGUCGCAAAGGUGUUCCUUCAAACAGGGCAUAAAUCUUGGUUGUGUAAACCUAGGCGAUCGGCGCUCUAGGUCAGAGAAUAAGAAAGUUGGGGGCCGUCUUAAACGCACAUCUCUUCUUUUAGGAUAGAUGAUAUUAGAUUUUAUAUUGAAGUAAAAAAUGAUAGAAUGUAUAAGUCUGGUUUAAGGGACAUUAUUUUUUGCACAGUUUUUUACACAUCAUACAAGCUAUUAGAUUUCAUACCAUUCAAUGGACUAGAUUAAUUGUACAAAGAGUAUCUCCAAUGAAGAUGUCAAGCCGCUACAUACACAAAAAAUGACUUAGAAAGCAUCAAAAAAAAAAACACAGAAAUUCUUCUCCAAAACCAUAUGUCAAAUCCACAUGGAUCCUAUAGGGCAAAUAAAAUCCGACACUUUUCCAUUCUUCAUGUCAAAUGUGACAUGUUCAACUCAACAUGUCUUUUAUUACUUUAUUGUUUUUCUUCCUUCUCCCUCGUCUCUACACACAGACACACUCUUCUUUCCCCACCAAUAUGAAAAUAGAAUUGGCUUUGUUUUUUAUUUAUAUCCAUUAGGAGAUAUCAAGCUUUGUUCUCCAUUAGGAGUUUAUGAUAAAGCUAAGGGGUUCUAACAAGGCCCUGGUGAUUUCAAUUUUAGGCAAACUAACGUAAUCUUUGUCAUUCGAGGGUAAGAUCUGGGUAUAGUAUACAGUGGAGAUUUCAGCGACAUUCAAGUACAAAAAACUGUUAUGCUCAGGUUCAGACGUGGAAGGAGAUAUGCAACACCAGUCCACAACGACAAAAGAGAUUUCAGUAAGUGGACAAACCCUAGUUUAAACGAAUAAUCUGAGGGUAGCAAAUAAUCAAUGAAACCAGGCCCUUUUCACCUGAUUGUAAUGGACAUAUUCAGACCAAACUGAGUGAGGGAAGGAACAAAGUGGGAGGAGGCAAGUCGCAGCAAGCAGUACGGUUUUAAGCAGAAUAGAUUCAUGGAAGCCAUUCAGUUUCAAGUGCAAGAUCAAAAAAGGCAGAGAUCCACCAGACAUUCAGGAAGAACGAGAAUGAAUGAAUAUCCUACUCCAAUAGCACAGUAAGAUGUAUGAAUAGGGACAGCCUACUCUAAUUUGUCUGUUGGGUUCACUAGAACUCUAAGCAGCCCUACAAAUGCCAUCAGAAAUCUGAAUGGGUAGUCUCCCUACUAGACUCCAGCCCUAAACAUAUAAAAGCUUUGACAACAAACCACCAAAUAUAAAGAGUAACGAACAAAAAAGAGCUAAAAUAAGUCCAUUCUUCAUUGCGAAGAAAUAUGGAUAGAGAAGUGCAUUAAAAUCCAUAGUAACAAUAUCAUCUACUACAAUAACCAAAAAGUAAACUCCAGCAAACAAAAAUCUCUAUUUAGCUUGAAUAAGAAAGUAGUUCUUCAGUACGCAAGUAUUCAAACCACCUUAGUCAAAGAGACUGAAGCCCAUAUCCUGCAACCAGAAACAAAAGGGAAUAUAAGAAGAGGCUCAAAAUCAGAUGUCACAAAACAUACAGGUAUCCCAUGCAAUCUGAGUGUCCUAGGGACAGAACAAAAACAAAGGCAAAUGGUAGGACUAUUGAUUAAACUAUGAUCUUAUAAACAUACAAUAUGUUUCCCUACAGCAAAAUCGCAUACACAACUCUUCCAUUAAAAUGGAAGCUCUUGACCAUGUUUCAAUGUUUCAUACAACUAAAUCCAUUGUAUUGGACAAACCAAUGUAUCAGCAAAAUGCAAACUUUGCGUAGUUAUGAAUCCGUAGUAUUGGACAAAACAUAUCCUACAACACACACAAAUAUAAAUCUUAAUGAGAUAACUUACAUCAUCGGACUCCUCUUUCUCCUCGACCUUCUCUUCCUUCUUUGCCUCAGCUGCAGCAGGAGCAGCGCUGCCGCCACCACCAGCGGGGGCAGCCACUGCAACAGCACCACCGCCACCAGAUGGGACAGAGGCCAACUUCUCCCGUCCAGAAGCAAUAAGCUCAGUUAUGUCCUUACCCUGAACUUCCAUAAGAAGAAGCUGAAUCCUGUCCUCAUCAGCUUCAGCACCAACUGUGUACAAAUACAAGCAUUGGCACUUGAAUUAGUUGAACAUCAAAACUGACCCUCUAAAAUACAUAUCUAUGCAGUCAUUAUUCAACUGCCGUGUGAUUCAUCAUUAAUAGAAAACAGAAACACUAAAAGCAGUUGGAAAAUCAAUGUGCUCAGUAUAACAACAUUGGCAUAUGCGUGAUAGGUCCUAACAGAAAGAUUCCUAGUGGUUGCCUAAUAUCCAGAUGUAUCCAAGACUCACACAACAGAGCAUUUAAACCCAAUCCUUCGAGACCCAAUUCUUUGUAAUUAGUAAUAAUUCGCUUCGAUUGGAUUGGAUUGAGUCAACCAAUUACAGACAAAACGGCAUGCUAGAGUAACGGAAGAGAAAACACUCAAAAAUGAAAACCCACAAACUUAGGGCAUAUGAUUAAGCACCCAAUGAGAAAAUGAAUCGAAAAUGAAUAACAGAAAGCAAAAGACGUACCGGCGCUAAGGAUGGUCUUAAUGUCCUCGGCGGUAGGGCAGGUCUUGCCGCCCAACAACGCAAGUAAAUAAGCAGCGAUCACCUUCAUCUCUGUUUUCAACAACUACAAAACUGUAAGCAUCAAUCAGAAUCGUACAGAGAGAGAGAGAGAGUACUUGAGCGAGAGAGAGAGGCUCUGGAUCUGGGUGAGUGAGAAGAAGGCGGGUGCGAAAUGAAGCAACGGAGGGCUUGGAUAUAAAGCUUUUAGCUAGGGUUUAAGUGGACUUUGCGGGUCCGGUUUCGGGUCCGGGCCGGAUCAGUGAUCUUUAAUUUUGAACCGCCCGAACCCACGUCUUUAUUUGCUUCAUCUUCUCCAAAUAUGAAUUAGAGUGAGAGAAUGGCAAGUCAAGUGCGGCGUAGUUUGGUGCACGCCAUGAAACAAAUCAAGAGUGGCUUCAUUCGUUCUUACUCCACAGGUUCUAAUUUCUUCUUCUUCUUCUUUAUAAACGGUCUUGUUCUGAAUUUUGACGCAAAACGAGCAGAUUUGCAGCCUCAAUUGUCACCAAAGCUGGUCAAGAUCAUGGAGCAAAGGCUCUCCCUCAUCGAACAAAGGAAUGCUUGUCUCCACAGCAUCAUCAACCAGGUUCCUUACUUGCUCGCUUGCUUUUUGUUCUUAAAUUAAUUUGAAACGAGGUCGCUCAUAUUGGUUGGGAUGAAGUCAGCCGGAUUCCUCAGCAGAAGAGUAUGCCAGGGCCAAUAAGGAGCUUCGCAGAAUUAGCUCCUCCAUGGACCUUAUAAAUCAGCUUAGAGCCACACACAAGGUAUAAUUAAAUUUUAGCUUUAAUCACAACUUGAUUCGAUAGUAAGAUCGUGCGUGUGUUUGCCAGGAGAUUGAUGGGUUGAGGUCACUCGUGGCCGAGUCUUCCCAUGACAGAGACAUGCUUGAUAUGGCAACCCAUGAGUUGGAUCAGGCCAUCAACCAUGAGAGGACGCUGCACAGUUUGUUGCUCAAGACCCUGCUCCCCAAGGAUGACGCCGACGAGAGGGAUUGCAUAUUGGAGGUUAGAGCAGGUAUUAUUUUAAGUCUCACAGACCACAACCACUUUUCUAUGUUGUUUCUUGUGCUUUUCUUGUUUCCUAGUGUUUGACGAAUUAUAGAUUUAAUUAGGAACCGGUGGGGAGGAGGCUUCUUUGUUUGCAAUGGACAUAUUUAAAAUGUAAGUUCUUGAUUUACAUCCUUGUAUGCUUUUCUCUUGUAAGACUCGCCUUUUCUGUAUAACAACUAAAUACAGGUACGAGAGAUUCUCACAUAAUAAGGGUUGGACGUUUCAAGUGUUGGAUAUUACUGAGUCUGAUCUUAAAGGAUAUAAGGUGUGCACUAUCUGAAUUACAUAUUAAUUGAUGCAAUCUACCGCAGGUGUUUAAGAGUUCAGGGUUCACCACGUCUGACACUUGUAAUUAUGACUCUUUCCAGGAAGCAAGCGCAGCAAUCUCAGGGGUUGAUGUUUAUGGCAAACUUAAAUUUGAGAGUGGUGUUCACAGAGUACAGGUUUCUUUCUCACCUGGUUGACUAAUUAUUAAUAACUGCUGGAGAAGUUACUGACUUUUCCUUUUUGUAGCGAGUUCCCGUGACAGAGAAGUCUGGACGCAUUCAUACUAGUGCUGUUUCUGUUGCUAUCCUCCCCCAAGCUGAUCAGGUGAUAACCUUUUGAUUCUGAGUUGAAUGAUAUUGUUACAAUUCUUUCAUACAAAUGAUCCAUCAGUCUCAGGCUAUCGGACACCACACAUGUAUUUGGGCUGGUGCAGGUAGAUGUCCACUUGAGGAACGAAGAUCUGAAAAUUGAUACCUAUAGAUCUGGUGGUUCAGGGGGUCAGCAUGCAAAUACAACAAACAGUGCUGUGAGAAUAACUCAUAUUCCAACUGGGAUGACCAUAGCCAUACAAGAUGAACGAUCCCAACAUAUGGUAUGAUCUCUAACCUUCUGUAGUAAUUGCAGUUUUGGUGUGUUAAUUUUAGGAUCAUUGACUGCCAUCUCCUAAAUAGUUGUGAUUGAUGAUGUUGCCAAUACAUAAAUACAACCAAAGUUGUCAUUGUCUUCAACUAUUAUAUGCUACUAUAAGUACGGUUCUGUUUGCGAUUGCUUCUAAAAUUGACUAAAGCGCUUUUUGGUAGCCUCUGGUAUAAACAGGGAAGUGUUUUGAGUUAUAGAACCACUUUUUUGUGGUUUUUAAAGAAAUACUUCAAGUGCUUUUACGAAAGACACUUCAAAUCUCUGUAAAACUUUUAUCUGCUUUUGACAAACUGCUUCCAAUGGCACCAUGUAACAAAAGCACUCCUAGAGAAAUAAUCACAACAGGAGCCUUAACUAUAACAGUUGUCCUAGAGAAAUAAUCACAACAGGAGGCUUAACCAUAACAGUUGUCCUCAAACUUAUGCCUGAGGUGCAAGCAAGUCCUUGAACUAAUCUCCGAUAGCAGUGUGAACUUUACAAAAGAGGUGCCACAGUUCUGACACCUAUUGCAAUUUUUAGGCUUAAUUACUUUGGUAGCUUUCUAUUAAAAAUUAAUAACAUGAAAUGCACUUGGAGCAAUUUUUAGGUUAUAAUUACUAGAUCAUAAUAAUCACUAGGCCAAAAUAAGGAAAGCGAACAAGCUAGUGCAGCUGCUAAUUUGAAAGAAGUUCAAGGGUUUUAGGCUGCUCUAAAGAGAAAAUAAGAUUUUAGAGAUUUCUUCUUGCUCCGAUUUCUAAUGAUGAGGGUCUUGAUGCACCAUUGUCAUAUUUUAUGGUGAGAUAAUGUAGAGAUCUUGAGAAAGGACGAGGGUCUCUUUGUUGCGUACUUUCGAAAUUCAUCCAUCUCGUGAUGUACAAUUUUCAGAUUUACAUGAUAGUGGCGGAUAUAUGAUGUUUUAAAUGGGAGUAUUGGGGUUGGUAGUGUUAUAUACUGAAUGGGUGUUAUAUUAAAAAUUUUAGAUGACUAAGAUAAAACUGGAGUUUUUAUGCUUUUACAAAAGGAGGAAGUGGUUAUUCAAGACUUUGAUGAAAAGAACAUGUAGAAGAAGAUAUAGACACCAGCAGAAAAGGAUUAGAAACCAUUGUAACUCGAGCACAAGUCAGGGACAAACUCUUCAGUAGGUCUCCAUGAUGGCUAUCAAAUCUACACGAUAGUUUUGAUCAGCAAUGCUCCUUUGUGUUCUAGGACCGUCUAGAGCCGAUUUUCAGCUUUCUUGUAGACUCCCCACUCUAUGUCACUGGAAACUAUGGCAACAACUUCACUCUUUCUCCAAUUUAUAAUUUUUGGGAUUUUCCUCACUGCCCCAACAAUUAUGGUUUUUGGAUUUUCUUCACUGUCGGCAAGAAUUCGGUCAUUGACUCUCUUCUUCUUUUUUUCUUGGUUAAUUCAACAUAGCCUUGACCUUGAGAAAUUUUAGAGUUGACACAUGCAAAGUUCACAUGAAAAUCUGACUUUCAUUCCCCUUGUUGUAUUGGGAUAUAUAUGAUGUGCAAGUUUAUGGUUCUGUAUCGUAGACUUCUGUCAUGUUCGUUUUUUUGUUCACUUUAUUUUUCUUAACUUUUGGUUCCUGUAUAGAACAAGGCCAAGGCACUCAAGCUACUGUGUGCAAAGCUAUAUGAGAUGGAAAGGUCUAGACUGCAGAACAAUCGGUCAAAACUUCGAUUAGAGCAGGUAUGACUGAUGUCUGACAAUUAAUUUGAUAGAUUUGUUUUCGGCAUUGAUUGAUUUUGGAGCUCAUUAUCUAAACAGAUUGGUAGUGGGGAUCGAUCAGAACGUAUUCGUACGUACAACUUUCCUCAAGGUCGUGUAACUGAUCAUCGUGUUGGCAUUACUCAUCAUACAAUAAGUAAUGUGAUGCAGGGAGAGAAUCUGGAUGUCUUUAUUGAUGCCCAUCUUUUGCAGCAGGAAAUGGAUGCCAUCGCCUCUUUCAGUUCUUCCCAGUGAAACCUGACAACUAGUUGUGUGUGGGAUUUGUGCCACAUAAUUAACAAUUUGCUUUAUCAUCCUACUAUGCAGCUCAUUUAGAGUUUUUUUUUUUUUGUUGAAAUUUAGAGUUCUUUUUUUUUGGCUGAAAUUUUGAGUUCAGACUUCAUAUAUUUAUUCUGUUACCUUAUUGAGGAGAGGGUACUGUCAUUUGGUUUAAGAUUUCGUCAAAACCUUCGAGUCGAGAUUGCAAAAUAAAUUAUCGUGCUUCCCCUCAGAAUUAAUGUUUGAAGAAAUGAACUAGUUUUAAAUACCUUUGUAGCUACAUAUUGCCAUACUGUAGAUGGAGCAAUGGUAGACGAACGUGGGAAGAGAAAUUGAGUUUUCCGAACGAAUUUGUUCCUCUAAUCUACCUAGGACUGCUCCCAUCUCAUAGAUGGCUAGACCAAGUUUUUGCUGUAGGGGGUCCAUGUCAAAACAUGCUUCUUUGUCAUUCACAAUACCAAAUCCUAGUAAUGCAAACACCAAAAACUGCAAUUCCAAAAAAAUGUCUUAUCAAGGUUGCAAUUCGAGAAUGACCUAGUUGUACAAAACAGAAACAUACAAACACUCAGUUAUUUCUUCCCAUAAACAAAAUAAGAGCAUGAACUCUCAAGGCAACAAUAAUAAUCUCUUAUUAUGAACUAGGCACCACCAAUAAACCGAAGGCAACUCAUAAAUCAAAGUGUUGAAUCAUGAACUUUAAAAGACAACAAUAAUCUCUCUUUGUUACAACUCACUGCAUUAGAAAUUUGCAAGCUCAAAUGACCAAUACUCAGAUCAGAUUUGCUAGGCAUGAACUUUGAAAGGCAACAUUAAUAUUCUGCUUUUUCGACAAUUUCUCUUGAUACCCUUUCUUUAGAGAUCAAUUAUUACUUUCAAGGCAACAGUAAUAAUCUCUUAGGCAACAGUAAUAAUCUCUUAGGCAACAGAAUCAUGAAUUGGGCACCACCAAUUAAUCAAAGGCAACUCAUAAAUCAAAAGGCAACAUAUUAAUCAAAGACAAAUCAUGAAAAUCUUAAAAACUGGUACUUGAACCCCUUGAAAAGAGGGAGCACUAAUCUUCAAACCGGUACUUCAACCCCACGAAAAAGAGGGAGCACCGAUAUUUUGAUUGUAAUUUCAUGCUCAUAUUCAUAUAGAUUCAAGCAAAGGCCUACGCAAAUUCAUGAAUUGCCCAAAGUAGAAAGCCCCGCAACAUUUAACAUGAAAUUAAAGGGCAAUAAUCUCUUGAAAUCGCAAACAACAUAUCGAAAUCAUUUAUGCGACAGUGAAACAAGCGAGGCGACCACCCCUCUCUUUUUUCGAGGCAACAAUAUUCUCGACCAAUUAAUCCAAGGCACCACCAAUUCUUAAAAAACAAUUAUCUAAUUGUAGAUAAUUGGAUUUGUAAUUCCAACACGAGAUUCAAGCAAAUAGAGAGAGUGAGAGAGUCACUACUUACAUGGAAUUGAGAACGGCCAGCAAUCAUCGAAUUACGGAGGAUCCAAGAAACAAAUGGCUCUCUCUCGCUUUCUCUGUACAUAACCGACAACGCCCCUAAACUUGGUUUGAAUUUUGAAAAGUGAAAGCAAAACAACGCACGCACUUGUCUUAGUUAUUUUUGGGCCUUGUAUUUUCUUUAUACUAGCCUUUUACCCGUGCAUUUGCAUAGGAUUCCAAUCACCUAAAAAGAAAGUAAAGCGGUUAUAUUCGGUUUACUAUAUUAUACAGUUAUACAUCUCACGACCUAAGUAGUUAUUCUUAAUUAUCUCUGUUUUGUUUUUUAUUUUUAUUUUUGUUGUUUACUAUAAUGACUAUUAUUUUUAGGGAAAUGAAAUCCACACUCCCCAAAUUAUAUCCACACUCUCAUUUUCCAUUUGUGGUAACUAAAAUUUUGUCUUUAGUGACUUAAUUUUUGUCUUCUUAUGUAAAUGAUGACUAACAAUAGAAAAUGGGUGUAUAAAUUACAAUUUGGGAAGUGUGGAUUUCACAUUCCUAUUUUUACUUGUUCUAGAUGACUCAUUAAGGGCAAGUUUGACAGUUUAUAAUUUGGUGAAUUUUCAAACCUUCCAGCUUUAUUAUAGUUGAGAUAAUACUAGUUUUUUACCUGUGCAUAUCACAUUUAUAAUUUAAGUUGAAAUGUUUUCUUUGUCUUCUGCUGUUGGUUUAUAUGGAAAUGGAGAUGCAAAAACAUUUUUGAUGAUAUGUACCAGUAUCCUUAUAGUCCUGCUGAUAUCAUCGUGGGUUUUUUUUUUUAUUUUUUUUAUUUUUUUUUAUUUUUAUUUUUAGAUAACUGCUCCAUCAAAAGUAGGAUAAAACACUACCACGUACUUUUUUUUCUCCUCGUCUUUGUUUUCCUCUUUUGAAGUCCAAUGGUGUUUUACGGUCAAACCCAUAGUAACUUUAAUUGAGAAAUUUUUCAGUACUACCGUAGCACCACGUGGCAUUGUACAGUGGUUCUCCCAAAUAAGGAAAAGACGCCAUGUGUACAUUUUUUAAUACGCUAUCUCAUAAUCAUUGUUUGAUGUAGGGCUGACAUUGGUAUAUAUACCGACCUUAUUUACCAAUACCAUGUACCAACCAACUUAUGAUUGGUAGGCAAAAUUCUCUACCAAAACCAACCGCCAAAGUUGGUAUACUGACUUAGUUGGUACAGUUGGUACUCGGUUGGUACGGUUAGUAAUUGGUCUCUACCAAGUUUAGAUUAUAACCCAAAAAAUGAAGUGAUAAAUAUAAUUUUUUUCACAAAUAUAAUGUAAUGAUAACUUUGGUCUAGUGGUAUGUGGUCAUAUUUUCCAUCAGACCAGUCAUGGUUUCGAAACAUUCGUUCUUGCCAAAAUUUAAAUUUUUUAUAUUUUAAUUGUAUUUAUAUCUGUAGGAUGUUAUAAAUAUAAAACAAUACAUAUAUUAUAUAUUAUACAUAUAUUUUAAUUGUCUUUACAUAUAUUAUACAUUUUAUAGGUUGUUUGUAAGAGGUUAGAGGUUCAAUUCUUGUUUCCUACAUAGAUAUGAGUGUAUUUUUGCAUAAUUAUACAUACAUGGUUGGUAUGGUAUACCAAUGGUAUGAAAAUCUCAAUACCAAGUACCAACCAUGUUACCAAGACUGGUACGGUAUACCGUACCAAGUAAGUCGGUUACCAAGUCUUUGGUAUACCAACUAGGUUGGUACGGUUGGUACUCGGUUGGUUGGUUUCGACAUGACCCAAAUUGUCAGCCCUAGUUUGAUGUAUUCGACUACAGUAAAAUGUAACAACGUCAAACAAAAAACGAAACUGUUGCAAUACAACAUCAAAUGGAACAGAACUCAGUUAACUUAGUUCCAAGAAUAGUCCCGUGACGAAAUUCAUCUUCUUUCAGUCUCUCAUGAGAUCUCGUCUCUUACGGCUUAUUAGUUCUUCACUCAAAUAUGGGUAAUUUGCUUACCCAUGAUCUGUGUUCCAUCAUAUACCAAUCAAUUUUCCUCUUCAUAUUCAUUGAAUUGUAGAGCCAAAUUCACAGAAAGAGAAAGAGAGAAUCAAUACGGACUAAGCAAUCGAGCCAAGCAAGACAAAGGUGAGUUUUAUAACUUUCAUUCGAUUUGACGAUUUUGAUUAAAUCUGUUAUAUAAUAUGAAAGCGAGGAGUAUGCUAUUAAGAUAUCAGAUUCAUAUUGUUCGAAUUUUGUGAAUGGUGCAGGAGGAUAACAGUGUGUGGAUCUCAAUUGAACCUUGUUGCAGGGUUUAAUCAUACUCAUAGUAAAACGCUAUUAUAUUGGAUGCGCACCAGGAGAUUCCAAUUGGCUUGAUUAUUGAACAUAUGGUGAGAUGAGGUUGAAGUGAGAGACAUUAACAUAUAUGGUGAAGUUUGCAUUUGGUGGAGGAAAUGUACAUAUGUGACCAAAGCAUGAUUGAUAUAUAUUAUCCAUCUAUAGUUCUAUUGUAAAGCUUGAUUAUCUUUGGUAUUGUAAUCAACUUCUUCUAUGUUUCAUGUGAUUGAAUUUACUUGUAUGUUUCAAUAGAUCCAUUCGAAUAUACUUGUUUGCCUUGAUUAUAAUCAUCGUUUGCCAUACUCACGUGCUUUGGAUACAAGAAGUUGCAAUCUUUGCAUCUCCCAUUCUCCCUUGAUACAGUCUUUACCCAACCCAGUCUUUGUUUAUCAUGAAAUAAUUCUCUCUAGGGUUUAUGUGGUGAAAAUGAUGAACUAACGAUAGCUGACAGUAGAGAUAGAACUAACGGGAGGUCGAUAAUCUUUUUUUUCCUUGAAGUAGGCUGAUUUAUUGUUGUUUAUUUACCUUAAAAUGACGUGUCAAAAAAUGUGCACAUGGUGUCUUUUCCUUGGUUGAGAGGAUCACUAGACAAUGACACGUGGUGCUACGGUAACAUUGAAAAAAAUUUCUUUUAGUUUUAAAUCUUUGAGAUCUUUUUGCUACAUUGGUUUUGGUUUUUUAGGCAAUUACAAAAAAGAUUUCAUCAAAAACAUCAACACGCCUGACUUUCGAAUAGUAAAUAUAUGCAUCAUUUUUCGGUUUUUCCUUGUUUUAUUUGAAGGUUGAUAAUAGAUUAGUUUUUUUUUUUUUUGAAGUACAUUAAUGGGUAGUGGGGAGUUUUUUGUUAUAGUUAUAAGUCUUAACUUCCAAUAUAUCCACUUUUUAUAAUUAUCUGCACUGUUAUUAUUUUUUAUUUUUAUUUUUUGCUUUUUAUUAUAAUAACUUAGUUGUUUUAAACUUUUCAUUAACUUAUUAAAAAUAAUUUAAGCAAAACAUAAUUUGAUAAAUUCCUUAAACGCAUGGUUUUAUAGCUAAACCCAACUCACUCGCGAGUGCGGAUAAUAAGCGAUUAUUAAUAAAAUGAAAACUUGAGGGGCAAAAUUACAGCAGAGUUUUUUGUUUUGGUCUGAAACAAAAGCCAGCAAGGCAAAAGAAGAACACAAGUAGAAGAGAAGAACUGGAAAACCAAAGCAGCUAACAAAUUACAGCAGUGUGUCCCUCCUAAUUUUGCAGUAGACUGCUUCCAUGGCUUCUCCUCCUUCCUCUACUGAAACCGACAGACCGCAUUUCAAGCCUACCGUAAGUACCAUCUCUUCUUCCUCCUUAUCAAUUUCACGUCUUUACAUUAUCCAUUUGAUUUUGCUUUCAAUUUCGGAAGGUAUCUCUCUACGAUUGGUGGCUCGUCAAAUCCCAAGACAACCACGGAAACAAUAGACUCGCCGUCGCCGGCGUUUCUUCCGCUCCGUGAGUUGAAUUCCCCUCAUUUCUGUUCUAGGGUUUCAUUUGUCCGUACUGUUAAUUUGGGAUUUUGAAUUUUUGGUUGCAAAUUCGUUCAAUUUCAGGCAAGAGAGAGUGUUUUACUCUGCGCCCAUAUGUAAAAAACACGAUGUUUUCACCCUGGAGACAACCGAUGGUGUAAUCAUUAGUCUUAAUGGGACUUUUAACAAGCAGCAGGCUAUUGCAAGUGGGUUUCCUGAUGAGGUACUAAAGAACCCAUCUUUUUUAAUUCUGGUUUUCCAUUCCUAGUCAAAGUUGUUGAAUGUUGUAAUUGAAUUGUUAUUCAAAAAUGUGGCUUUUGAGGUUUAGUAGUGAACAAGUGUCAGUUGGGUUAACUGACUAUGAAAUGACUGUAGCUGAGUAGUUGUCAAUCAUUUUGGGCCGAUAAUUUUGUUUUGAUGGUCUGAGGAAUCCAGAAGGCAAAGCAAAUGCAUUUUACAAGUAUAAGAGCACAGUCUAGCCAUUGUUGCUACUUGUUUUCCUGAUUCACAAAGUUAAACUUGCAUCUUUUUUUUGUGUAAUAUGUGUUGACCUUCGCAAAUUGAUGUUUGCCUUUGAUCUUACACAGGUUGCCAUGCAUUUUCAAUUGGGAUUUUAUACAGGCUGGGAAAAAGGUGUUGCAGAGUUAUUGGAACAAGAUUUUGACACUACUGGUGUUUCUGGAAGAAUAUCUGAUUCGGGUUCAGAAGGUUUACAUAUUGAUGCUACAUUUACUGUGUAAAGUUCUUUUUCAUGCCUAAAAUCUCGCAUACUAGCUAAUUAUCAUCAUUCUGAAUCCUUUCUGUUUAUGUGGAGUAGGUCCUACUUCAGUGCGUUUUUCUCAAGAAGAAACUCGAACUCCUUAUGAGCAUGUUGGAUCAACUUAUUUUCAGUGGAUUGGUAGAUCAAAGAAUCUGGAAGUCAAUCAGAAGAACCCAAUGUCUGUAUGCUCUAUGAAGCAUAAAAGUGCUAAGUUGCUUCCUUCAUUAGAUGCCUUUGAGAAUGUAGGAGAAGCGUUAGGUGCAGCUGUUCAGUCAGGGGGUGGAAAUAGUGAAGCCAAGAGAUGUCUGAGCAAUUAUAUACACCGGGUGAGCAGAUUUUUGUCAGAGUUUUGGAGCAAAUGGAUGAACCAGCAAAUGGUUGGCAAUGGUUUGAACUCCGAAAAUAAGACUACUGACUCUGUUCUAACAGUAUCAAAAACUGUAAACAAUUCUUUACAAACUGAUGAAUGUGAAGUAGGAGAGAAAGGUAUGUACCAUCCCUCAAAUUCUGCCUAAGAUUUUGUAGAACUAGCUAUCUGAAAUGUCAUUUUGAUAAUUGUUUUCUUUCUGUGGAGUGGUUGCAGGCGUGGAAAGUUCUUGUCUAACUUCUUUGCAUCUUUCUCUAGAAGAAGGUUCACAUGAGCAAGUGUCUUGUGAAGAGAUGUGUGAUUCUGAAUUUCCGGAACAGUUGUCUUCAAGGCAGUCCUUGAAUAACUCACCUAAUGACAUGGUUAACCAUGCAGUUGAGGAGGAAACAGACACAGAGGAUUUCAUAUCAACUGCUUUGCAGUCUAUUGGGAUACCAAGGACUCUAGAAGAAAAUGAGAAGAACCCAGAAUAUGGAUGCUCAAUCAAGCUUAGUAGUACAAGUUUUAGUGCUUCAGUAGAUGUAGGUGUAGUAGCGUCAGGUGUAACAAUUCCGUUGGCGGGUGAAAUUAAUGUAUCAAAGACAUGUCCGAGAAAUCCUGGAGGCAGAGUAUCUGGAGAUUUGUCAAUAAUUACAAGAAGCAAAGGUGAGACGAAGCAAAUUGUUGGCAAUGGAUUGAACUCUGAACAAAAUACAGUGGACUCUGUACCAGCAGUUGAAUCAGUGAGCACUACUUCACAAAGUGUGGAUUAUGAAGUUGGAGGGAGACAGAUGUUUGAAUCGUUUCUCUCUUGUUGUCAAAGGGCUGAAGGUCUAAUUAAUUCUAGUCCAACUUUUGUGCAUUUUGCUCGCGAAACUCCUAAUGAGAAGGUCCAUUGUGAAGAUAGGCUUGAUGUUGAAGGUCCAAAACAGAUUACUACAAACCUGUCCUCAGAUAGCACCAUUGAUGACUCAAAAGUUGAUGAUUUAAUGAACCAUGCUGCUGAAGUGGAAUUAGACAUCGAGAAUAUUGGAUUAACUGAGUUUCAGUCUUUUGGGAGACCACAGACAAGAGAAGAAAAUGAGACUGCAACAGAAGCCCUUGAGGUUCAAGAAGAGGUGAACAGUAAAAAAGAGGUAUCUCUUUCCGCUUUAAAGGCGAACACAAAGAAGAAACACGUAUCUGCUUCUUUGGAGGGGAGCAAGAAAAGAACAUCAACUCCUUCGACUCUGGAGGUGAACAAUAAAGAAAAGGUAUCUCUUUCCACUACGAAGGUGAACACAAAGAAAAGAAAGGCAUCUCCUUCCACAUCGAAGGUGAGCAAGAAAAAUAAGUUGAGUCCUUCGACUCUGGAGGUGAAUAAGAAAAGAACAUCAACUCCUUUGACUCUGGAGGUGAACAAUAAAGAAAAGGUAUCUCUUUCCACUACGAAGGUGAACACAAAGAAAAGAAAGGCAUCUCCUUCCACAUCGGAGGUGAGCAAGAAAAAUAAGUUGAGUCCUUCGAUUCUGGAGCUGUAUAGUAUUAUUUCUCCAGAAUCUUUGAGUACCGGGCGGUCAAGAUCAGGUGAGUGGACUUCACACACCCAAUAUGAUGAUCUCUUACAUACAGACACACAUGUGGUCUACUUCGUUUUCCUUUCUGUUUUGUGUUGGUUUGGCUAAUAGUUUAGAUGAAUGAAAACAGGUAUUAGUGAGCCCAACAUGGUAGCCAUAUUUUCAAUCAGUCAAUAUAUGAGCGGACAUCUAAAUGUUAAUAGGAUGGUUUAUAGCAUUUCAAACAUGUCUUUCUUUAUUUUGUACACUAUUCAAAUGGGGUUAAAAAAAUGACAUUGUAUGAUUUGACAGAAAUUGAAACAUCAACGGGCAAUAUGCCAAUAUGUGCUGUUCUGUUUCAUUGAGUUUUGGGUGCUCAGUUAAUUGCUCAUGUUGCAGGCAGACUAUUGCUACGGCCCUUAGAGUUCUGGCGCAACCAGUCACCAGUUUAUGACAAGGUGCCUUAUGAUCUAUUUUUACUUUCGUGUGUGUGGUUUGAUGACUAUUGUCUCUUGAGCUUUAGCCUUAGUGACGCAUUGACUCGGUACCUCUGAUGGUAUAUUCAGGAUCAUGGAGUUAUUGGGAUUCAAGAAGAGGUACCUAGAGUAACACGUUCAAGAGGUUUGUUUCUUAUAAACUGUAUUGAACUGCUUGCUUCUCUUUACACCUUGUAUAUGAAUGAGAAUGUGCUUACUGGAUAUAUACUACAUUAUCUGCAUCACCGCAAAAUAGGGAUAUUGAACCCAUUGUAACUUAAUGCUUAUGAUCUUAACUUUUUUGGAAUACUUGUGUCCUCUUAUGUAUUUUUUUAUUUCUGGCAAUACCUGCUGAUGAUGAUAUGUUUCACCUGUUCAUAGGCAGUUUAUCAAAGCCGCGGAAAAGAAAAGGCAAUGGAGGUUGAUUUCUUGGCACUUGUUUCUUACCUUGAGCAAGUGUAGUAAUAAAUAUAAGUUGAAUAUAGUAUCAGUUGAAGUUCAAAUUACCCUGACCAGCAUCAGCAAUAGACUUCCACAAAUUUGCAGGGCGGCAUAGGAAAUUUCGAGGACUUUUGUAUGAUGAAAGCUCAGAGCACAUAGCGCCACUCUUUAGGGGAUGUUCACAACAUAGGGAGAUAUACUUUUGUAAGUCUAACUACAGGACAGCUCAUUUCCAAAAAAGAAGAAAAAGAAAAGAAGAAUAAGAAAGCUGAAGUUUCUUGAAGGAGAUGUAUUGUUAAGAGGCUGCCCCAUAAGUGAUAUUUUUAGCUUUUGCUUCAUACGAUAGGUAUAAUGUGUAUAUACGAGUUGAUGUAAUGCAAGUUCUGCUGAAACAAGGUUUGCCUGAGUUUGUCAAUUGUAUAGUUUUACUGAUAUUCAAGCACUUGAGCACUUCAUAGAUUCCAGGCUUCCAGCUACAUUUUGUUCCUAUUGGGGGUUGGUGAUCACUAAGGGAUAUUCUGGAAAAUGUAAAGAAUGGAGGCUGUUUGACAGAAAAUUUGAAAAUUGAUUAAAGACGGCAGUCGAAAUUAAGGACUUGGUUUUAUUGGUUGUCUUCGAACCAAACACUAACUGAAUCAAUGGCACCGCUUUUCUUUUUACCAAAACCAAAAUUGGUCAAAAUUUGAAUAAUAAGCAUUUUGGUUAAUUUUCGUUUCAGUUGGUUCCAAUUACAUUGACACUAACAGAAAUGUCAACUAAAAAGUUAGGAACUAAAAAGAAGCUAGCCUGCAGCAAGCCUUUUCCAUAAGCAGCUGAAGCUGAAGGAUGAGCCACUAAGUUGGUAUUCAUGUUCACAUAGCACACCCUUAUAGCUCGGCUGUUCUUGUAACACCAAGCAUACAUCCUCAUAAACGGACAUACUAUCCCCAGAAAAAGACUCAAGCUGUCUGGCCACCACUUUGGCAUCAGCAGCAUCAGUCACAGCGAAAUGAACUGCAACUUUGAAACUUCUCCACAAGUUCCGAGGACAACAGUCUUUGUAAAAGACCAGCACCACCUGCAACCAUGAUGCCCCAAGCAUCUUUGAUGACAAAUCCAAACCCUCAUCAUCUGUUUUUUUUAUUUUCAAAACUCUAUUUCUCAGGCUUCCAAACCAACGUAUCAGACACCACUCGUUGACUAAGAGGACGAUGAGAAUGGCUUCAGCUUCCACCCUAGAGUUUUAAUUUCUCUUAACUCUCUCUAAAACAAGGUCUUGAGGAGCGCACACGCACACACAAAAAAAAAAUUCUAUAUUUUUCCAAAGAUUAAAGAAAAAAGUUACAAUGAUGAUAAGAAUGGCUUCAGUCCCACCCUAGAGUUUUAAUUUCUCUUGACUCUCUCUCUCUAAAACAACGUCUUGUGGAGCGCACACAUACACACACAAAAAUCUAUAUUUUUCCAAGAUUAAAGAAAAAAGUAACAAUGAUGAUAAGAAUCAUUCCCCUCGGAUUAUACCUUCUCUGUCAAUGUCUGAAAUCUGCAAUUUUCAUAACCUAAGCAAGUAUGACGAGUGUUGUUUAGUUAGGUAUGGAAAACAAGAGGAUAUAGUUUCAUAAUAGAUGGAUGUUGUUACGUACUACAAAACGAUAGAAGCUUUUUAUAUAUACAGGACUAGAAGCAAAGUUGGGUCAUACAGAAGUCACGUUUAAUACCAGUAUGAUAUUUGGCUUCCCUUAAAUUGUUACAGUGAUGACGGCAUAUAUAACAAACACUUCAAGCAACUCAGACUGCAAACUAAGACUCCUACUCACAGUUGAUUUGUCUGAAGAACUUUGACUGAUUCUACCUGCAUAAAAUAAAGGAAGUUAGGUUUAAGCCAGUCGAUGAAAACACUGCCCACUACAAUCUGUUUUUUAACUUUUCAAAAGUGAAAUAUAAGUGUUAUUUUGUAACGUGUAUUUUGCAGAUAAGACAACUAAGUGUCUCGCUUUUACAGAAAUUCAGAAUCAAACUGAAAUAAUACUACCUGAGGUCCUGAAUGCUAACACGGAGUUUUUAUAGAAGUUUUAACCAGACCAAUGUAACAUCCAAGUUUUAUGCCAACUAAUUUGGAUGGUGGCAAGCCAGCAAUACACUUGUAGAUUGAAAUGAAAACUGCAGAGAACAUUCUAUAUUUGCAUUUUACCAAAUCAUAUCAGUCCAUUCAUGAUCUAUAUGUCUGUGAGUGGCAUGGUCUCUUCUCAUUCUAAGGUUACCAUACGAUUAUUUGCUUAUUACAUCGGGAACCACAGAACAAAAAACACUUGCUAUUUGUUGGUAAUUCAUCUUGCAAAUAUGUGUGUAUAUAUAUGUGUGUGUGUGUGUGUGUGUGUGUGCGUGCGUGUGCGUGUGUAAAAGCUAUCAAAACAGAAACCUUCAAGAAUGCUGCUUUGAUUAGCCAAACACAUUACCACGCACAAGCUAAGAAAUAACGAACACAAGAAAAAUCUAACCUUUGCUUUGACCUGGUGUUUCUUCUUGAUGAUGCAGGCAAAUGACUUUUUCGAUCUUUCAUGUGCUAGUCUUAGAUCCAGCUUUUAAGUCUCCUGCCAAUAUCAGUACCUUAGAGGAGAUGAGCAAUAAAAUCAAAAUGUUACCAAAAUAUACAGUCAGAUGAGGUUUGUACCUCUCAAGACGACAUUUGGUGACUGAAUUUCAGUAUCAUCCGGUUCUGAUUCUGACAAAUCACUGGAAACAACAGAAUGUUCUUGCGACUCGACAUGUGCAGUUUUUGACGUCUCAUUCACAGAAUUGGUCAUCCCUUCAUUACAUGGAUCAAUGACUUCACCAUCUGUUCCACCACCAAGAGAGGUGCAUGCAAUCAAUACUUUAGUGCAAAGAAACAAGACACAACCUUUUAUAUUCAGUUCAACAUGCUACAUCAAUGACCUCCAUCAAAUAGUAUGCAUGCCAUAUCAAUGACUUCAAUCAAAGAAUAUUACAACCAAAACAAAAACAAAAACAAAAACAAAAAAGCCCUUGUAAACUGUGGACGACCCAAUAUUGAUGGACGGCCCUCAGAUUCCAAACCUUACUCAGAAAUGACCAAAAUUGCACGAAAAGUACCCACAGUAUAAUCUUAGCCUAAGAGUUGCAUGUUUGUGUCUCUAGGAUAAUGCUAACCUCACACUUUUGUGCUGAUGGAAAACUGAUUGUAGUAAACACGAUUGGUAAGCACAUUAAUUUGAUUAAGCAUAAGUUGAUCACACUGACCUUCAUCAAUAUCUGAUUCUAUAUUAGCCUCGCCAGCAUUCCUAGUAACCACAAAAUCUUCCAUACUGUCAAUCUUCUGUUGAUGAAUUUGGGCAUUCUUUGCUGUCACUUCUUGUUCUUUCUUUUCCAAGUGAAACUUAUUUAGCUUGUCCUCAAACUCCUCAAUGCACAGUUUAAGUUCAGGCUUUGCAAACUUCUUGCCCUAUUUCAUCAGAUUAGCAUAAGAAGAAAUUAAAAAUACAACAAAUAUGAUAUAAACAUAUAAUGAGCAAUAAGAGCAGAUAAUUCAUACCUUGUUUAUUAUGGACUUGAAAUGGUCCAUCACAGAAUCCUCUGAUAGGACGUGUUCAUAUGUCUUGAAUGACUCCAUAAGCUUCUUCAUUCCCUUUUCAGUGAAUGCCAGCUGAGAGAGGCAAUAAGAAAUAUAUUCCCAUUGUCUGACAUCUGCAGCCAUGAGUAGCCCAUUAGCAAAAACUAUUUUUAUUAGUCAUGAAGCUGAAAACAUCAACAAUAACUUAUCUUGUAAGGGACAAAAUACCAAGAAAAUGAUGAAUAUGUGACUGAAAUUUAGAGAAUAAUGAUUUUAAGGUGAGGGUGAUAGGUAGCUUCCAUAUCUCACACAUGAUGUUGCAAAAAAUAAUAAUAAUAAUAAUAAUAAUAAUAACAAUAAUAAAAUUAAAAAGGGAAAAAAGGGGGGGGGGGUGGUGGAAUAUACAAUAUCUAGAUUAGUAGAUGAAGUGCAUUUGUCUAUCAUAGCCUCUGUCAAGACUCAAGAGCACUCAACUGAGGUGCAUUGUCAAUCCAAAAACUUGCAACAAAAAAAUUAUACAUGAGUGCCGAACACAACUAAAGGUCGUUGUGUCUAUACAAUUUUACACCUUCAGUUGUAAGACUUUUUAGUUUGCAUAUGACAAAAUAGGGAGUCUCAAAGGAAAAAAAAAAAAAAAACAAGAGUGAACUGAUAUCUUACCUGUAACUCCACUGAAUCUAUUACAAAGCUUUUCAACAAGAGACUCCAUUUGUUUGUCCUAAAAAAAGAAGGUUAAAAUUUACCAUGAGGUAAUAAUAGAAAACAGGAAAUAGCAAAAGGAACUGAGUUGUCAAUUAUACCUUCUUGAUAGAACCAAUCAAAAACUGCAUGAUGUUGCAGAAAGAUUCUCUCUUCAGAUUCUGGUUGGAUAGUUUCCCAAGUAUAUCUGGAAGUAGAUUAUAUAUUGGAUUGCUCCCUGAUUGGUGUGAACCGAAAAAAAAAAUCUUUCAUUAGAAGAAAACAAAAUAAUACGAAAGCGAAAGUGAUGGUACCAGAAUAAACAUGAUAUUGAAUGGAUAUCAAAGUUUACCUUUUUUAGAUAACUCAUUAAAGAAAAGCUUAGCCAGAUUUGAAAUCCUCUCAUCUUCAUCUUCUAAUCUAAUGGCCAUUUCAUUUAUGUAACCUUUGACCUGAUCAAGAUAUAGCCAGAAUGAGAACUCACUAUCAUAAUAGAACAAAAAGAACAAGAAGCAUUGCCAAGCCUUUCAGACCUUCAUCAUGUCAUUUAGUAUGAGGUGUGAAAGCACCAAAACAGCAUUCUUCCUAACCGAAACUGAAGGAUCCUUUAACCUGGAAUACAUAUUCUCUGUCCAUGGUUCUAAUAAAUUAGGGAACCGAACUGCCAAAUCUCCAAGACAAAUAGUGCAAUUGGAACGGACAAUUUCUGAUGGUGCACUCUCCACAACUGUGAAGAGUAGCUGGAGAUUUGUGUCACUGGAAAUUAUACGUCAAAUGUCAGACAUAAUGUAUGAUUGUUCUAAGAAAACAGGCAUGCAUAUACAUUCACAUGUACACACACCUAUCCACAAGAACACACACAUAUAGAGAGAGAAAGAGAGAGAGAGAGAGAGAGAGAGAGAGAGAGAGAGAGAGAGAGAGAGACGUAGNNNNNNNNNNNNNNNNNNNNAGAGAGAGAGAGAUGUCUUACCAGAAAUUUGCAUCAAUAAUCAUGAACCGACACAAAGCAAGCAUUGCAGAUACUUGAAGUUCCUGAUACUGAAAUUGUGCAGCAACCAGUCAGUAAAAUUGAUGAAUUAGUAAUAUACAACAAAAUAAUUAUUAUAUUAACAAGCGGCAUACAAACAAUGCACAAAAGGUGUACUCUGUAUUAAAGUAAAGAAAAUAGCAUAUAUAUACUGUAACUACAUACGUGGCAUCACUUCUGAGGUUUUGGAGUAAAAGAAGUGUGAAUUCAUAUCUCUGGCUAUGAUAUGAAUAAACUAUUAAGGACGCAUUGUUUAUCAUAAUCUCAUACAAAAGCAAAAGAAAUUCCAGUUCAACAUAUAAACCAAAUUUAUAAUUUUCAUUCAGGGUUACCUUUUGCAUCAAACUAAAAUUUCUACAAAGUUUUGACAAAAAGGGUGCACAGUGUCCAAUCAAAUUCCUCUCCAAGGAACCACCACCAAUUAUUUCUUUUUCUGCUUUGUCAGAGAGAGUAUCAAGUAUUGCAUCUUCAGAGGCGGUAAGGCCAAGCUCAGCAUUUAUACCAAUUUCCUGCAAGAAAAAUAGAUGAAGGAUACUGAUUAAUUGCUGAUAACCAUACCCGAGUGUAAUAAUAAUUUGUAUAUGCAAUACCCAGUCUUACCUUUGAGCUAUCAGCCGGCAUUGCACCAUUAGCUUGCUGAAAAUCAUAAUUUAUCUUCUCUUUGCCAACUUUUUGUUUUUGAACCUUUCGCAGGCAGGAUUCAAUAUAUAGUAGUUGGUUCAUGGCAACAUGACUUACGACAAAGAGAUAUCUACCAAGUCUUUCCACCUGAAUGGUAGCAAGUAUUCCAACACUUCCACUGCCAAUUUCAUUCUGCAACUCCUCACCUCCACUACAAUCAAACACAGAUCUUAGGGACUUCUUUACUAGAUUGGCGGCAAAAGUUUCCGGUGUUGGAUGAAUUGUAUAUACAGCAGCUAUGGCUUUGUCAGCAGCGGCAUACCAUAUGUUUUCUGAAAGCCAAAAACCAGUAACCAAGCUUUCUAAAAUACCAAAAACCCUGCUUCCAUUACUCAAUAACAGCUUUUUCCUAUCAUCUUCAGAUAAUCUCUGAAGAGCAAUGCAAGCUGUCCUGGCAAGCAACGGUUCUAUUUUUGCCCAACGGCCAAACCCAAUAUCAAUAAUAUCCUGUAAAUGAGAGCUCAGAACUGUAGAGGAUGAUUUUGAUGCCAUGCAUAGGAUAGACAAUGCCCCACAACUUUGAACAGCAGUAGUUCCACUUAUGUUGAAGCAAAAGAAAUCCCAUAACGCUGAUACCUGCGGGGAAAAAAAGAAAGACCUUAGAAGCAGUUUAAUUCUUUAGACAAGGGAGACAGAACUUGUCAACUACUAUACACUGGUACAAGAGAAGUCAGCACUGACUUGACUACGCAGCAUCACCAAAUAUACCAAAAAGAAACAUAGCUGGUAUUCUAAAAUCUAUAUCAUGGUUGCUCGUUAUCUUUUCCAUAUGCACUUGUUCACUUUCCCAGAAAUGACUAUUUAUAUCUACAGUACCCUCACUUUUGAAAGCUGAAAACCAUACAGAGAUUCUUGUGGCUUAUGGCAUGCAAAGGAAAUAUCUUCAAUCAAAUUUAAUAGAUUAAAAGUAAUCACUCAAAAAAAAUUAUUACUACGAGAAAUGAAAAGGAACAUACCGCACCACUGGAUAUGUUGCCUUUGGACACCAAGGCACCAACUAUAUACUCAAGGGCAGCUAGAUCUCCAAUAUUUGAUUCUAUUGCAAGAUUUAUAAGAUUCUUGGCCGCUUCUACCGGGUUUUUCUUUAUGUAAAUUGUAAUGAAGGCAUUUUCCACAGCUUCAUAGAUGGAUUUGUCCUGAGAAAAUACCUACAAAAGCCAAGGCACAGUUAGGACAUUAUAAAUCACAUGUACCACCAGAAAAAUCACGUCCAGAAUGGUUGCUCAAGAAUCAACAGAAGAAAAACUGUUGACAGAAUUGAAAUUAUAAACCAUCACUUCCUAGGGCAUGAGCAAAAAUUGAAUGUACCAGUGGCAACAUCUUAUGGAGACAUGCUUCUGAGGAAUCAAUAUGAAACUGCCGGCACCUCAUUAACAAAUUAAUUGUGUUCUCAACGUCAGUGGCAGAAGAUGAUGCCAUCAACUGAGCAAGUGUUGGGAUUGUAGCAGAUAUACACUUUGAAAAUCUCAGUCCAGCCUCAAGUGAAGCUACCAAAGCCCUGGUCUGUUCUAAGUUACCAACAUCUGGGACAGACCCGUCUUUCUGAAUUAGAUCUUCUUCCAUCUCAGGCAAGCAACUAUCAGGUAAGCUAUCCAGCUGCACCUUAUUCAACCCUGCAGUUAAGUCAUCAACCUCAUUAUUCCCCGAUGUAUUAUUGAAAGAUGGUAAUCUGUUCAUAUCAUUUUCAGAGGGAGUAUCUGGUUCAAGCUCUUUCAGCUUCUUCUUGUACUGCUGUAGGGUUGCUUCAAAUGAAGCUUUUCGAAGUUGUGGGCCAAAUGGGUUAUGCUGCAACAUCAUGAUAAGUAAAUUUAGUGCUGAUUUUCUGACCAUUGCACUCUUAUCCUCUAACCUCCCAGCAGCAACUUCAGCCAGCUCAUUCCACAACCCAAUUGAAACACAAUGUUCUUCACAUAGUUCAGCCCAAAUUUGAAGAACCCGACUCCGGGUAUAAGCUGAUACAUCUCGACAUCGCUCAAGCAAAAUUUCCAACAUGGCUUGCUUGGUUCGAAGACGAACAGAUUUAGAAUUAACUUCACCCUCAGCAUCUAUAAAAGCCUUUGCAACCAACUUUCCCAAUACCCCAACAAGAGCAUUCCUUAUUUUAUAAGAUUCCCCACCAAAAUGUGGGACAAGAAGACCAAUAUUUACAGACAUCAACUUUGGUAACCGAUCAGAAAGUUCCACCAAAAGACGACCAACAUUUUCAGCCCCAACUGUAUCCUUGAUGUAGUCUUUUGGAUUUGUCCUCCCAAUCUCUCUGAUAAGAGAAUUAGCUAGGCUUCCAUCUGCAUACUUCUUCUCAGCGCCAGCAACCGCAUCGGCAAUGUGGGUAACAACAAAAUCAUAUUUGUGAACUAGGUGCAUGAUCGAGGCACAUGAUUGUGCCAUAUACUGGUAUUUUGUAGCACAUGCCCCAAUUAUACGACACAAAGCAUCUUUUGUAUCAGAGUCUUUUAGUACUGUAGCAUUUUCAAACAAAGAAAAUGCAUUUCUGCAGAACCCCAAAAGAUAUAGUUAAUGAUUUACAAAAAUGAAAUGAGAACUAUAUAUAAACCUGAGAAAAUUGCAUUUGUUAUCUAACUUACUUGGCAAUAAAAGAAAUAUAAUUUUCUUCUAGGCCUGUUGGACUAAAGAGCAAUGCAAGUUUUAUCUCCAGUGAAUUAGCAAUCAGAUUAAGUAUACGACCCCUUUGUGGCUCCCAGUUCCAUGAAUUCUUAGGUUGCUUCUUCCUGGUACUAGCUGUCACCUGAUUCAAACAAAAGGCUUCAGGGCACUAGCAGCCGAAGAUACUCAAUGCUGUUACAUAUAUAUAUAUAUAUAUAUAUAUAUAAAUGCAUAUAAACUGCGAGGACUAAAAAUAGAUAAUAAAAAAGCAGUGGCAAGCAUACAUGAAGAGAAAAUAUAUAAUAUUAGAAAGUUAAAGACAUAUAAAGGAAGACAAAGAGAGAUGGUGGGAGAAAGAAAAACACCUUCAUAUAGUUGCUGGAACUGAUAGUAACCUCCUCAUUGAGGACAACAGUAAGGAGGAAGAAGGUGUAGAUUUUGAAAGCAUUACGAUGUGAUGCAACCCGAUCCAGCACCGGAGUGGCAUCCUCCUGACUUUGAGAAGAAGCCCGUGAGAGUGAAUCAACAUUUGGGAGGAGAACACUCAAAUUGGAGCGAAGACUCUCUACAAGAUUAAGUUUACAAGUUGCAGGUAGACGACUGUAACCCCGAACCAGUGAGUACACACGAUCAAACACAUCUUGCUCUUCUAUACAAAACAGCUCUUUAUCGGAGAGGUCAAAGGAUACGCCUGAUUCAACCCAAAAAUAUUCAGGAACAUCAGAAAUUGUUUUAAAUAAAUGACAGUUAAUCUUUGCAAGCGAAUUUCUCGGCCUAGGUUUUUCUAGGGUUUGAGCAACAAUCAAAUCAAUCUGUAUCAACAAUUGAGGUCAGAAAUGAAAACCAAUACCUUUGACCAAGUCAUCGAGUUGGGAGGGGGGAAGAGAAGCGAUGUCGAUUGGGUUCCGAGCGAAGAGGCGGUUGUCUUGGGUGUCGUCUUCCAAGCCUCUCAGGGUUUCGGGGAACUCAAACGACGGAGCCAUCCACACUCCCAGUCGGAUCCAGCUUCUCUCUCUCUCUCUCUCUCUUCACCCGACGGUUUCAAAUGGAAUUGAAAUUUUUGGAACGAGCGGGAAUACUGUUUUCGGAUCUAGGGUAUUCUGUCUGUUUACUUGGACCCGCCUUCGUUUUCCUUUUCUUUUUUUUUUAUCAAACUCGUUUUCCCAUCUAGGGCCGCUGUUUUCCGAUCAACAGAUAAGGAAAUUUAAAAACAAAAUCCCCUAUUACAGCGAGUUUAAAAGAUCAAACAAAAAGGUCCAAUGAGUAUCUAAGCUGGGCUUGUUUGUGAUGUGUUUUUCGUGGGAGUGACACCUCUAACCUAUACAGUUACUAGAUCGAAGUUGUACACUGAUCUGGUGAAUGGAAAUAUAAAUUGUUGGGUCUCUAAGCAUUAUAUUUGUCAAGAUAAAUUGCUUUGCUCUAGUGGCCGUAUAGGAGUAGAGGUUUAUUUGCUUUCUAAACCCAAAAGAUAAGGCAUAUAAAACAAAAAUGAAAACUAGAAAUAGUAACAAGCCACUGAACUUAAACUAAAUUACAAAGUAUUAAAUGUACAUAAUAUCUUUUACCUUCGUAAAAUUAAACCACACCAAAAUGUAUACAUGGGAUAUAGUUACAAUUUAGAUGCGUUUAAGAAAAGCUAUUGGACUACGCACAAUGUGGUGGUACUAAAAGAUUGAUCUAAAACAAUUCCUACUACUCAACUUUGUUUAAAACAAUCAAUGUUUUGGCUUCAUAUUUUUCCAACGUACUCAACUCCACCAAAAGUUUAUGAUCGAAAGUUUAUUUUAAAGAUGGGUUACAUGCUUUAAAUACAUAGUUUUGGUUUUGAAAAUCACAUAAAUAAACAUAUACGUAAUCUUGUUAAAAGAAAAAUAUUUGUUAGGGAUGGGUAUGAGGAGGGUAAUACCAUCAUCAAAGCAAAGGAGAAAGGCUUCACCAAUAUUGAAGUUGAAGUAUAUUCAAAGUUGGUGAUAGAUCUUGAAUAGCCUUGGAGAUUAAUCAAACUAGUGCAAGAUAUUAGAACAUUAACUACUAGUUUUGAUUCUAUUACUUUUAAACAUGUUUUUAGUGAAGCUUGUCAAAAAAAAAAACAUGUUUUUAGUGAGACAAUUUUGUUGCCGAUGCCAUGGCUAAUUUUGGGCAUUCUUAUAAUUCGUCUCUGUAUUGGAUUAGUAGGGUUUCUCGUGAGGUUUCGAGAACCUAAUUAUUUAACAUGAUAAACGUUAGUUGCUUUAUAGAAAUUUAUUUCAUUAUUUUAAGUGAGAAAGUAGAUUAAACAAACUAAAAAAAAGGGGGAUAAUGGUUGAAAAGAACAAAAUGUGAAGUCCAAGGUAAAAGACGAAAACUAGUUUGAGUUGGGUUUAAACGCUAGUUGUCAGGGAUGAGUGAGCAGAAAAGGUGAGAAGAAUUCAGAGAGAAAGAGAGAGAUGGAGGGAGAAAAUGGGAAUGGAGAUGAGGUGGUAGCAGGGCCUUGCUUGAGUGGGUUCGUGGACGAUGGUAGCACAGAGAGUCACCGAUACUUCCUGUCACGCAGAACCGUUCUGGAGAUGCUAAGGGACAGAGGCUAUUCCGUUCCCUCCUCCGAAAUCGACCUCUCUCUUCAAGACUUCCGAUCCCUUCACGGCCAAAACCCCGACGCCGAUCGCCUCUGCUUCUCCACCGUUCAUUCCUCUGACCCUUCUGAACGGGUGGGUUUCCUCUUUAUCUUCACAAUUAUUCACUAUGCUUUCCAUUGAGGCAGGAUCGUGCCAACUUUAUACAAUGCAUGCUUGGGUUUCUAUCAGCAUUUUUGUUAUUGGGUCUGUUUACUGUUGGGGAAGCAGUUCCAUUGUACAGGGGUUGCGUAACCAUCUCCCAAACUGCUAGUUAAUUCUGGGCUUGUUUGAACGCUAUAUGUUUGUUUAUUUCAAACAUCUAUUAUAGUUUAUCCUCUAGUAUCGGAAAAAAUAAUGUCUGCUUAACACUUUAGCGUCUGGUACACUUACUUCAAUUUGAUGUAUUAGUAACCAAUCUUCCUUUGCUGUUAGUGUUUAGUGUCACAUACUAUAAAUGCUUUGUAACUGAUGAAUGCUUCUCCACAUCCCUGAUGACGUGCAUAGCGAUUUGAUGAAAGCUUAACAUCAUGACUUCUUAACUCCCACUUACUUUCAUACUCUCCACUUCCCCUUGAAUAAAUGCAACUAUCUCCAUUCGGCUCAUGCACUCUUGCUAGUUGCUAGUACCCACAAAAAUAUGUGGUCUAGUGAGUUAGCAAGAUUGACCAAGGUAUUUACUGUGGCAAAUCACUACGUGGUCCAGUUGCAUGUUGAGACUUACAAUUUCGAAUGUGAGCCAUUAUAGGGGUCUAACACGUUUCUUUUUCUAACCUGUGCCGUGGGGUUCGGUGCACUUUAGUGGGAUUUGUUUCUUUGGUAGAAUGAAUGUAACUAUAAAUCAAAUAAACAAUAAGCAAUUUGGGAACAGUAUCCAAAAGGUUGCUGGGGGAAUACAGUGUUCUGUCGGUGGUAUCCCCUACUAUUCUCCAGCAUAAAAAUCCAGACCUCGCUUAGGUUCCAUUCCUGUUUUGUAAAUCUCCUCCUUACUGUCUCAACUGCUAUUUUCCCAUUUUCUCCAUUCUUGUUUUACUUCUGUGCUUCAAACAUGUUAUCAGUAAUAUGCCAUUGGUAUCAACAUGCCCAUUCUACAAUUUGACAAGCAUGACCUGACUGUUCUCAGAUCCAUUAUAUAAAGCUUAUAUCCAUGUCAUAAGACACCAUAAGGAACCUUAAUUUUUUAAGAAAGCACCUGUAUCGACGAUCAGUUUGACACACUUAUUUCCAUUACUUAUUGAUAUUCAAUUGCAGAUGCUGGUCAUCUACUGUGGGCCUGGUAUUGUGAAGGUCAAUGUCAUCCGCGGGCUGCAUAGUCAGAUUGCUAAUAAAGAUACUUUGUCCGGGCUCAUAUUAAUUCUUCAAGGCCAAAUAACAAGUCAAGCUCUAAAAACUCUGGAUCUUUAUCCAUUUAAAGUGGAAAUAUUCCAGGUUUGUUUCCUGAUAUCAAUUUUGUUAUUAGGUUUCCUUUCUGUUUUACUUUUGUUUUCCCUUAGCUGUUACACCCUCUGUAUCUAUAUUAAAUUGAGCUCCUAAGUAUCUAGGUUAGUAUUGAUACAUGGUCUAUACUGGACAGCCAUAUUCAACAUGUUCCUGGAAGAUAUAUAUAUAUAUAUAUAUAUAUUAUUUUUUUUUGGUUUUUUAAGCAUCAGUUUGCAUUGACGCAUCUAUCUCCUUUAUCUUUGAAGGAGCAUACUGUACAAGUGUUUCUUUGCCAAUUUGCAGUAAUUUUGUGUACAGUUCUUAUUGACACUCAUGUUUCUAUUGAUUCAGUUACCAAUUUGCGGUUAAGUUAGCCAACAUUCUCUCUUGUGAGCAUACUUUCAGCUGUUAAUCUCAGCCACUUGUUCACUGAAAUAUAUGGUGAAAUUUAAUCAGCUCAUAACUCAAAAGCCCCAGAUCUGUAUAGGAACAAAAACUUAAUAUAGCUUAACCAUCUGGAGAGUGAAAAUUGAAUAGCUAACAUGUUAGAAAGUCUUUAUCACAUGAUAGGGAAAGAAAAUGGUUAGUAUUCUCAUUUUGGUAGCUAUUGAUUCGUCAAGGUCUGCUAUCUAUAGCAGUGGCUCUUCUUGUUCAGCGAAACAAAAUAUUUCCAUUCAAUUAUAACUCUCAGGCUUCCUGAGUGCGCUGAAGGCUGAACUUUCUUUGAAGUCAGAAACAAUGUGAAUGUGAACAGCCUCCAAGCUAAUGGGUCAUAUUGAAGGUAGAAACUUAAAAUACAUAUAAUUGGUGAGAUUCCCUGAGGUUCAAUUGUGCUUCUUAAGAGAACUUUUAAUAAUUACAUAGGUAUAUGGGUAGAGGAGCUUUAGAAGAGAGUAAGACAGUGGUCAGCUCUUUAGGCUUCUCUUUCUUGCAUCUGUUAGAGUCUCUUAGGACGAUUGGUGUUUUCUAGUCUUCUUGCUUGAUGCUGCUCUUGUUUCAUGGGCUUUAUUUUUUUUUGCUCUUAUCCUUUUUGGACCCUUUUGUGCACUUUCUUUUUUGUAUCUUCUUUUUCUUUUCACUUAAUAAGUUGUUUAACUAAAAAAAAAAAAUUGGGCUGCUUUGGAAAUUCUUUAAGAAAAGAUGUGAUGGUUGAUGUUUCUGCGCUCUUUCUCCAUUAAUGCUAUAAAUUUUUGUCUUUUAAAUCAAGGAUUAUGACUCAUCCUAUUUUGACAGUUUCUACUGCUAACAAAAGGACAAAUUGGGUAAUAGAUUUGAUCGGAUGACGUUUAAAUAAAUAUCAUUAAAGAGGAGAGCUGUGCAACUUUUCAGGAAAGUCAAGAUUAAGAGCUCCGUAGUUUUUAUAUAUAUUAUCCCAAAUCUUGCUCUCUUCAUUUUUCUUCAUGCUUAUCAGUGCACUUAUUUGAAAGUGAUUCGUUAGCGGAUUCAUUUAUCUCUAGCUCUUUAACUAUAAUUCUGAAAUUGAGCCUUAAUAUAGGAUUGUUAGAGCAUGCGUUUGUAGAACCCUCUAACUCUUUUGUUGUUGUUACGUUUUUUUUUUUUUUUUUGAAA